ensembl:lncRNA
UUAAAACCACCUGCGUGAUAUCGUGUAGGUCGUCCUUGCGCCACCAAAACAGCUCUGACCCGUCGAGGCACGGACUCCACAAGACCUCUGAAGGUGUGCUGUGGUAUCUGGCACCAAGACCUUAACAGCAGAUCCUUUACAUCCUAUAAGUUGUGACGUGGAGCCUCUAUGGAUUGGACUUGUUCGUCCAGAACGUCCCACAGACUCUCGAUCGGAUCGAGAUCUGGGGAAUUCGGAGGCCAGGUCAACACCUUGAACUUUUUGGCAGGGCGCAUUGUCCUGCUGAAUGAGAACGACCUUCUUCCCAUAGUGCAUCCUGGUGCCAUGUCUUCCCCAGGGUCAAAUCAGAGAACGGUCUUGGUGAUGGAGUGUGAACAUGAUCGAACCACCUAUCUUGUUUGCUGUGGAGCGCCAUCCCAUCGUCUUCCUUCCGAUCGAGCCACCAGAUUCCGAUCUCGACAUCUUCAUUUCCGUGAUGUGGAGCACCUGCUCGUGUUUCGUCGUCGUCAGACAGCAGUCACGGGGUGAACGGACAUUUUGUAAAGCUUGGCCUUGAGGUGGAUUGGCAUCGUUUUGUCGCAGAGGACUCCCGAGACCUGACGCCACUCCAUCCAUGGUGCAUUGACAUGAGUUGGGGAGUCGAGUCUGGCAGGAUGUCACCCUCGAAGGUGAAGACCAACCCGAGGAGUCAGACAGCUAGAACCCUCGAUGAGCUCCGUAUCCCCGUCUUCCUCUUUCAUCCUCCCUCCAUCCUCGGGGACAUCGGCGCACUGCCUGUAAGACGUCGAGAACCAGAAAUCA